UACGUAGGGUGCAAGCGUUAUCCGGAAUUACUGGGCGUAAAGGGCGCGUAGGCGGCCUUCUAAGUCGAACGUGAAAUCCCCGGGCUCAACCCGGGAACUGCGUCCGAUACUGGAAGGCUUGAAUCCGGGAGAGGGAUGCGGAAUUCCAGGUGUAGCGGUGAAAUGCGUAGAUAUCUGGAGGAACACCGGUGGCGAAGGCGGCAUCCUGGACCGGCAUUGACGCUGAGGCGCGAAAGCCAGGGGAGCAAACGGG
rnacentral:rRNA from 1 species